UACGUAGGGUGCAGGCGUUAAUCGGAAUUACUGGGCGUAAAGCGCACGUAGGCGGCUAUUCAAGUCGGGGGUGAAAGCCCGGGGCUCAACCCCGGAACUGCCCUCGAAACUAGAUAGCUAGAAUCUUGGAGAGGCGAGUGGAAUUCCGAGUGUAGAGGUGAAAUUCGUAGAUAUUCGGAAGAACACCAGUGGCGAAGGCGACUCGCUGGACAAGUAUUGACGCUGAGGUGCGAAAGCGUGGGGAGCAAACAGG
rnacentral:rRNA from 1 species